ensembl:lncRNA
UUUCUGAGUAGACAAGCUCUGAGGCAUACAGAGGUGAAGUGGCUGCCCAAGGCCAGAUAGUGUGCUUUCCAUCAGACCGUGCUGCCUUAAAACUUGCUGACAAGCAUGACAUACUGCUGCAUUUCAGUCUUUCGGACUAUAGUUACCUCCAGUAUAACACCGCUGGAUAAGUGAAGUGAAUCUCAGCUGGACCUCCUGAAAGAGAAGAAAAUACAUAAAUGAAGGUCUACACUUGAAGGUUUGCCAUACUGGCAAAUCCGUGUCCUGCGGACAUAUGUUACGCGGGCGAAAAAGGUCUUUUUCUGCUUUGGCUCGUACCAGGUUCCCGAAUGAAAUAAGCAACUCGCUAUAUAAUUGCAUCUGCACUAGAGCUUUUCAGGGCAUAGGUACAUCAGCAAAAAAUUAUGUCCCUCACUGACAUAGCUUUUCUGAUACAACUUUUAAGUAGACAUGAAGCAUUGAAGAACCACCUCCACUUUCAGGUCUGCUCAUUCUGGAAAACUUUUCAGGACUAUCCUAUAUGAGGAAGUCAAAUGGUGCUCACAGAGUUUAAUGUCAGCAGUUACAUGCAUAUAAAAGUAACCCCAAAGGGAUAGAAGAGAUGAGGAGAAAAGCCUCUCAUGGUAUUGAGUCUUCUCAAAAAAGCAAUGUAAGACACAGAGAUUAAGCUGAGACAUCCUCACAGAGAAACAUGAAGACUAAGCUGAGCUGUGUGAGCAGGCGAGGACAGAAGGCCUAUACUGAAGCUGCUGAGCUUUCCAAACAGUGCUGGUGCAUAGGACCUCAGCUGGUUUCAAGGUGCAGAUAUGCUUGGUGGGUCCUGGCUGCCUCUCUCUUGCUCUCGUUGCUGGUUAGUGCUCUGCUAGCAGGACAGCUCGAUAUUUCCUGAAGACAGCAGAGCAGAGAAUACUUUCCUGAAACUCUAAUUUUAGACGAGGCUUUAAAAACAGUGACCAAUAGGCUGUAUCCCAUGUAACUGUUUACAUUCCCAAAUGUGAGCUGCUCCUUCUCUUACACCAUAUCACAGGUUUUCGUUUUUUGCUAUCACUUAGCUAAUCCUCCUGUUUAUCUUUUCAGGAAUUUUAAAAUGUUAUCAAAAGGCAGAAAUGGAAACAAAUACCAGGCAAGAUGAAGUGGGGAUCGGAAGAGGGUCAGAUGCUUAUUAAGAGUCAGGGGUUGAAAGGGAUAUUUUAAAGAGGGAGAGGGGAAGACGCUUAGAGGGAUUGCCUUUAAAAGGAAAGCCGUCUUCUCAACCCUCUGGCAGAUUUGGUGCCAUCUUGAUUUUUCUCCAGAAUUGGGAUUUGACUGAAAAGAUAAUCUUCUUUGUGAGGGUGAAGGAAACAAUGAGGGACAAAGGCUGGGGAAGUGGUCUCAGACCAUGUUUUCCAUUCAGAUGACUUCUUUUAGUUAAGGUGAAAAGGGAAAAAAAAGGGUUAUGUUUCAAUAUAACUUUUCAGUACCAGGAAACCAUUGCUACACAGACUGUACAAUGAAAUGAAUAUAGAAGCUGCUCCCUGCCCACAAGGAGAGAUGACCACGGCUGCUGGACGUCUCCUAAGAAAAAGGAAUAUGUAAUAGCUGUUUGCUUGCUACGCUUCACUCAUCAGACCUGUUCAAGUAUGCAUCAGCAUGUCGGCUGCCCAUGGGCCAACCCACAGUGAUGCACGGCCUAAAUACUACUCCUGUACAAUGAAUGGAGCCUCUCCUUCAGCUCAAGGAGCAAAGUCUGGUGCUCUGUCUCCACGUUAUCGCCAUGACAUCUAAGUCACUGAGGUGUGGAGUGCUUGACUAUAGUAUCCUUCACAGCAAAUAAAAUUGUUACAGCUGUGAAAAGGAAGUUCA